GGGGGUAUAGCUCAGUGAUAGAGCACGUGCUUGGCUUGCAGGAGGUCCAGGGUUCAAUCCCCCGUGCCUCCA
rnacentral:tRNA from 1 species